GGCGCUUUCGUCUAGCGGUUAGGACACAUGGUUCUCAGCCAUGUAACACCGGUUCGACUCCGGUAAGCGCUA
rnacentral:tRNA from 2 species